UACAGAGGUCCCGAGCGUUGUUCGGAUUCAUUGGGCGUAAAGGGUGCGUAGGCGGCGGGGCAAGUCUGAUGUGAAAUCCCGGGGCUCAACCCCGGAACUGCAUUGGAUACUGCCUUGCUUGAGUACUGGAGAGGGAACUGGAAUUUACGGUGUAGCAGUGAAAUGCGUAGAGAUCGGAAGGAAGGCCAGUGGCGAAGGCGAGUUCCUGGACAGUUACUGACGCUGAGGCACGAAGGCCAGGGGAGCAAACGGG
rnacentral:rRNA from 1 species